AAUCUAACCAUUGGGACUUGUCCUAAGAAGGUGGGAAGCUAUUUAAAGGGGCACUAUUCAUCAGAGAGUAACAACUUUUGAGUGGAAUAUCAAAGAGUACCCUAGAAUACAAAAGUGCCAUAAUCUUCUUCAUCAAGAGCUUCAUUCAAGAAUCAAAGAAAGGGAUUGAGCAGAUUCAAAGAGGCAUCAAGAGCUCCAUCCCCUUUAAAGAGUGAAGCAUCCUUGACAAAGAAGAGCAAAGCGACUUCAAAGCGAUAAAUACUUUCUAACUCUUCCUUGUAGCUUAUAUUAUUUCAUAUGCUCAUUUAGGAGUUUGAAUCUUUCCUUUUGUUUAUUAAACACUUUGUAAAGGUUCGUUGGUGAGCCCGCAAAACCAACAAAAGUUUUUGGUGAACCCGGAAAACCAAAGUGUAAAGGUUAGUUGGUGAGCCCGCAAAACCAACAAAGGUUUUUGGUGAACCCGGAAAACCAAAGUGUAUAGGUUCGUUGGUGAGCCCGUAAAACCAACAAAGGUUUUUGGAUUGUGAGCCCGGAAAACAAUCCAACUGUAAUCCGCGAGAUUAUAGUGAAUUCCCAAGGGAACGCUUGGGGAGUGGACGUAGGUG
rnacentral:lncRNA from 1 species